GAGCGUGACGUCACUGCCUACAACUCUCCCAGAAUUUGGAUCAAGAAGUUUCACUUUUUGGGUGGGAUUGGAACCUCUGUUAUAAUAUUCCCUAGAAAGCGAGAUUUCAACACACAGUGAAGGGCAUCACUUCAUCAGCCUUCCAGAUUUUCCGUCCAUCCAGAGAGGAGAAAAGAAUAUAUUGCCAGUA